rnacentral:antisense_RNA from 1 species
CUUCAACGACCCCAACCACAACGGACGACCAGGCAACCGCCCCUGCCCAUACGUCGCCAACAACGCCUGCGCCUC